rnacentral:lncRNA from 1 species
GGAAUAUUUCCCAGGUUUUUUUGUUUUUUGUUUUUUUUUUUAAAAAAAUAUUAAAAUGACAUUGAAGUACUUACUUUCCAUUUGCAAGGAGCUGUGCUAUAGAAACUGUACGUUGCUUGGGACUAGAUUAGCUGUGUACGCCUUAAAGUAGUGACUUUUGUAGAAACCGCAGAAAAGUUAAAGUCUGUAAGAAUAAAGAACUCUGUAGUUACCUGAAUUAAAAUGCAAGCGAUUUCACUAACUUUCAGAUAAACUGCCAGAAGUACGAUGAUCACAUAACCCUUCUUAGUAGAAGUAAAUAAACCUUCACCAUCAGAUUUACAAACAAGCAUCAGCAUUUCUGUAUCUAGGGGGCGCUCGUGAGCAUAGUGGGAAUUAUGGGCAGUGAUUGGCUUUCUAUUGUAGCAAAUGCCAGUGCAUAGUCAGAUGCCUCUCUUCCUUGCUUGCUGUAAGCUUUUAGGAAACAUUGAAAUGGAAAAAGGCAGAAGGAGCUGUGGCCUUCUGUAGUCAGAUUGACAAGGACUUCUGAACUUCAAACUAGAUUUUUUUUUUUAACUUUUCAAAUGUAUUCUAUGAACAUUGGAAUGUGGGCAGUUCCCUUUUUUCCAUUUAAAACCUAGAAGUGAGAUGCUGCUAUCCAUAUCAUGGAUCCAUACCCGAAUAUGACUAUUUAUUUAAAUAAGUAAACGUCUGUUUGGUACAAGAACCUUUAGUUAUACAGUUUUCUAAACAAGUUGCCAAAUCAUAUAACCAAACUGAUUAAGCAGUCUCAAAACAAACACAGUCAUCCUAGAAGCUUUUAUUUAAAAUUGAAACUUGAGAACUUGUUCUCAAUAGUUAAAUGAUUGAUUUACUUUAAGUGUCUUAAAUCAUAAGUUAGCUUAUAAUACAUUCCCCUUAGUUAUAUUCCAUAUGCCAUGUUGAGUCUAGAUUCUGAGCUUAUAUAUCCUAUAACCUUAUAACUUAAAAAAUGUUCUGUAACUAGAAUGUGUAGAAUGUGAUUCUAAUUGUGGCUCACACGAGAACUCAGCUAAGCAUGGUCAAUUUAGGACGAUGUAUUUAUCAGAAAAACUAAAAAAUUAUAAAUGCAAGAUUCCUUCUAUUAAGAAAGCGCAGAAUACGAUGCAUCUUUAAAUUUAUGUGUGGAAACACGUGACCUCGAUCUCGAUCAAUUAUUCAGUCCUUGAAAUAUAUAUGGAGAUAUAAGUCGAGGUUGCUUCCGACUUUCACAUGACCCCACGGGACAGCAGAAGAGGGCAGUUUAGUGUUAUAGGACUGUAUCUCAGCCAUCAGUAUCUGUUUCAGUGACAGGAAGAUCUGAUGCAGUAGUACAGAGAUGGAGCCUGCCUGUCUGUACCAACAAGUUCCUGGGCCGUGAGGGCUUCACUCUGAGACUCAGCACAUCUGCUCUUAGUCCCCUGUGUGGAAAACGUCUCCAGGCCACAAUCUCUGUUUUAUUCGCCAGAUGAACAUACUAAUUUCUUAUGAUCCCUCCAGUUUCCAAGAUCCUGAUUUUGUAAAAAGUAUAACUUUAAUUAAGGUCCAUUAUUCUUUAGGUAGCUAUUUGAAAUAUCAAUUUGUUAACAUUUAUAAAGGAAAAAUUGAGUGCCUGAGAUACAGUAUUUAUUAGUAUCACUUUUAAAGCAUAAGCUCUAAUUGUAAUUCUUAGAAGCAUAUUACUCUAUAGCUGUGAUGUUGACUUUUCUGUGUUAGAGUGCAAAGGGAAUUUAUGAUUUGCAAUAUAAGUCAACGAUAGCAUUCACUAGGCUGGAUAUUAGCUACUUGAGGGAGCAGGAGAGUAUGUUAGUCAAGAAUCCAUAAUAAAGUUGGGUGGCCAUAAUUCCAAGAAAAGGGAUUUCAGAAGAUACAGUAAUAUAAGGGCCAACUAUGGUAGAGAUUGUAUACUAUACCAGGCAUCAGUAAGAAGGAGGACCACAACAGGGAGGAGGAGGAGGAGGAGGAGGAGGAGGAGGAGGAGGAGACCUAAUGAGAAACGUGCUCCCUUUCCCCACACAUCCUCUUGGUGUCUUAAAUCUUGGGUCAGCCUCUAGCACAGUAGUGUGUGAGUGUGUGUAACUGGCCUUUUACUGAGGUUGGGUUUGUCAGAACUCUUCACUCUGAGUGGUUCCUACCUUUCUCCCGGUGUAGUUUCCUCCAGUACAGUGAUUUAAUGGCAUUCAUAAAAGUCUGCUGCAGUUUAUUUGACUGGACUUUACUGCCUUUCUUACUGGCUUUUACUUCUCACUCCAAAACCCAAACUGUGUUCUAUGCAUCUUUCUAUUUCAAAUCAGACUUUCCCAUUCCAACGUUAGGUACGCGAGGUACGUAGGACUACUCAACCCCAGGUAUUCAUGUAACUCAGCAGGAGUGACCUAUUUAAUAGACAGUAGUGUAGUUUAUUGUGUGCAGGCCCUGGGUAGUUAAUUGAAUGAUAAGCCAAACUCAUGUGAAUCUAUUCUCAAGAGACUUUUAGUUCAGUGAGAGUGACAGAUCAAAUAAAUAAUCACGUAAACAAAUAAAAACGGGAAAUUACUUAUGAGGAAAAAAAACCCACUUAUAUUCUUAUUGUUCUGAGUAUUAAAAUAUAUGUAAAAUAGGGAGCUGGAGUUAAAUGUUAGAAUUUAAUAAUAACAGAGCCCAAAUGAGGUCAAAUUAUUUACUUAUAACCUAGAAAUAGGCCCCAGUACCAAUCAGGAAGUUCUUUAAUGAAGCAGACUGUCUAACAAAAACAGUGGCAAUCAUAAAACUCUUUCUAGAGGAAUUUUGUUUGGAAAUAUUGCUUUAUUUGAAUGUUCUUUUUUAAUCCUAAUGAUUUUAAAAUUCCACUGUAACACAGACCAUAUGGGUUAUUUAAGAUUUGUUGUAUUAAGGCUAUUUUGCUUAAACGCAGGAGUCUAGUGAGCCGAAGUGUAACUUCUGUGCAUAGUUUGUCGUGCAUGGUAAACCCAAGAGGGAGCAGAGUGAUUGGGAUUUUCAAAAAUUCACUCCCUGUCCUCGGCCACCUUCACUUAAGACUCCCAGGGCUCAGUGACUUUAGCCCUGACUAUUGUCUCGUAUCAUUGUGCGGUUAUGUCUGUAGGCAUCGGGCAACUGGAGAAGUCGUCAGGCUUUUAUGGUGAAACUUGUGGUAGACCCUAGACAUUUUUUAUUCAGUCAGAGCGCAGCCUGAACUUCAGACAAGUUUUGGAAUCGAAGACCAACUCUGUGAGAAUAGAACGCAAAAUCACCCUCUGCUGUGCAAACGCCCUAAGCGGCAGGGGAACAAAAAGAAACCCAGAAGUGAUGGAUACAGCCCAUAGAGGCAAGCUCACCGUGGCCAUGGUGACUUUGAACCUUUAAAAUUAUUAGGAUACUAGCAAGAAUUAGAUUAAGAUACUAGCAGUGAAUUUAGAUGGGGAGUCAGAACUUCCCGUUUUGGAUUCUUUUUCGUUUAGAUUGUUCUGCGUUGUAAUUAAUUGCCUACUCCUGUGAUGUUAGUUUGCUGUCUCUUUAGAUCUAAUACUUCACUCUAGGACCUGUUGUCAGUAUUUCUAGAAGCUAAACUUUCUUUAGUCAUGUAAACUUUUACAUGGUUGGUCAAGUGGUGAUAUUGGGUUCUCUUUAAUCGUCAGACAGGGCAACCUGGCUUAGCUGGGUGAUUAUCUUUUCAUUUUGGGUUUUACAAAUUGUUGAUUUAAAAAAAAAUCUGAGG